rnacentral:misc_RNA from 1 species
GCAAUAUCAGAGAGAGAGAGAGAGACUGGUUGUGUAACUUUUUAAUAACCACCUAAACUAAUGAAUUACAAGUUACAAUCCACUUGGACAAAGAAAUAAACAAAAAAAAAUGUAAGGAUAUAGAGUAUCCAGAAUUUCAAAUUCUCUUCUUGUUUGAAUAGUUUUUCCUGUUGUUGAGUGACUACUUGUGUGAUUUGCUCAUAAGGGGGAAGAUGGAACAUCAAGAGUAAUACCAGCUUGGAUUUCACCCCAACCAAUAAGACGCCAGUG